rnacentral:rRNA from 1 species
UACGGGGGAUGCGAGCGUUAUCCGGAUUUAUUGGGUUUAAAGGGUGCGUAGGCGGCGCUUCAGGUCAGCGGUGAAAUACCGGGGCUCAACCCCGGGGCUGCCGUUGAAACCGGAGCGCUAGAAUUCCGAUGCCGUCGGAGGAAUGUGUGGUGUAGCGGUGAAAUGCAUAGAUAUCAGGAGGAACAUCGGUGGCGUAAGCGCUUUACUGGGCCGUAAUUGACGCUGAGGAACGAAAGCCAGGGUAGCAAAUGGG